ACUUUAGACUUCAAAGGGGGAGGAGUACGCUAAACCAACUGAAACUUAUAUAUUAAAUAGUCAAAAAAUACAAGUUGUCAGUCCAAUAAUACAAUAAGAAAUAAAGUGACUGAACUGUAGAGACUUCAAAAAUAGAAAAAUAACAUGUCAGUGAAUGUAAAAGGGUGUUAGUUGCAAGAUAAGGGCGCGAGUGUGAGUAUUGAUCGAGCGAGUGUGGUGGAGCCCGGUCCGUAUGCCAUGGUGGAGGCGUGAGUGAUUUUCAACGCCCGUACGCCCACACGACGCCCACGCCGCCAUGGAGGUGGUUGGGGAGUACGAAUACAGCACCAAGGACCUCAUAGGUCACGGUGCUUUCGCCGUGGUGUUCAAAGGGCGGCACAAACAGAAACCCGGCCUUACUGUUGCCAUAAAGAGCAUCACCAAGAAGAACAUUGCAAAGAGCCAGAAUCUCUUGGGGAAGGAAAUUAAGAUUCUUAAGGUGAGUUUUGAGAAGUAGAGACCGCUCCUCUUCUAGAUCUCCGGGUGAGUUUGGAGACACUAGAGACAGGCAGACAGCGAGAAGAAGGAAACGACAGGGUCAUCUUGGCACUCCGGAGGCUAAGAUAGAACUAGUAUUAUUGUUAUUACUUGGGGUUCUUAGCUAUUGUAGUGUUUGUGAUAGUCAUUUUUGGGGGGGUUGGGGUUCUUGGUUUUAAGGUUGUUAUUCUGUUGUUAUUGUCGUUUUCAUGUGUGUUGUUGUUGUUAUUAUUAUUAUUGUUGUUGUUAGCGUUACUGGGAGACGAUUUUUUUUUCAUCGACCUGAGAUCGUUGUUCUUUGUGAUUACUAUUGUUAUUCGUAAUCAGUGUUAUCAUCAUUGAUAUCAAGGUCUUUGUUGCACUCGUAAUGAUGAGACGCCACAUCCUCAAUGUCCGCGAUAAGGACGAUUAUCAGGGACAAUUUUUAAUGCGAGCCGUGUUCUUUGUCAGCCAUUUGAGCAUGGGUGGCUGACAACGGCCGCUCCUCCAUGAGAUGCGGGUGCGAGA
rnacentral:lncRNA from 1 species